AGAGCGAACGCUGGCGGCAGGCUUAACACAUGCAAGUCGAGCGGGCGUAGCAAUACGUCAGCGGCAGACGGGUGAGUAGCGCGUGGGAACGUACCUUUUGGUUCGGAACAACACAGGGAAACUUGUGCUAAUACCGGAUAAGCCCUUACGGGGAAAGAUUUAUCGCCAAAAGAUCGGCCCGCGUCUGAUUAGCUAGUUGGUGAGGUAACGGCUCACCAAGGCGACGAUCAGUAGCUGGUCUGAGAGGAUGAUCAGCCACAUUGGGACUGAGACACGGCCCAAACUCCUACGGGAGGCAGCAGUGGGAAUAUUGGACAAUGGGCGCAAGCCUGAUCCAGCCAUGCCGCGUGAGUGAUGAAGGCCCUAGGGUUGUAAAGCUCUUUUGUGCGGGAAGAUAAUGACGGUACCGCAAGAAUAACGCCCCGGCUAACUUCGCGCCAGCAGCCGC
rnacentral:rRNA from 1 species